rnacentral:rRNA from 1 species
UACAGAGGUCCCGAGCGUUGUUCGGAUUCAUUGGGCGUAAAGGGUGCGUAGGCGGCGGGGAAAGUCUGAUGUGAAAUCCUGGGGCUCAACCCUGGAACUGCAUUGGAUACUUCCUUGCUAGAGUACUGGAGAGGAAACUGGAAUUUACGGCGUAGCAGUGAAAUGCGUAGAGAUCGUAAGGAAGACCAGUGGCGAAGGCGAGUUUCUGGACAGUUACUGACGCUGAGGCACGAAGGCCAGGGGAGCAAACGGG